rnacentral:misc_RNA from 1 species
ACCCUUGACCACGGUAUAGUCAGCGACUGGGGUGAAGUCGUAACAAGGUAGCCGUAGGGGAACCUGCGGCUGGAUUACCUCCUUUCUAAGGAUGAAUGAAAGUAAAAUUUCAUUCUAAAUAAUAUACAUCGGUAAUGUUGACCGUCCUCAUUUCUCUUCUUAAAGUAAUGUUUCCUUCUUGUAGGGCCGGUAGCUCAGUUGGUUAGAGCACACCCUUGAUAAGGGUGGGGUCGAAAGUUCGAGUCUUUCUCGGCCCACCAUACUUAACUGGGGGAUUAGCUCAGCUGGGAGAGCGCCUGAUUUGCAUUCAGGAGGUCAGCGGUUCGAUCCCGCUAUCCUCCACCAGGAAACAUUUAGUUAUAAAAACUGUAAAUAAAUUUAAUAAUUAAUAUCAAUAUCUAUAUCCGAACAUUAGUAAUGUUAUUAGCUAAUGUUCAAAAUAAAAAUUUGAUUCAACACAGAAUUUUUUUCUGUGCAUAAAUCAAGCGUUUAAGGGCGUGUAGUGGAUGCCUUGGCACUGAAAGCCGAUGAAGGACGUGAUAUACUGCGAUAAGUUUCGGGGAGCUGUAUGUAAGUUUUGAUCCGAAAAUUU